rnacentral:rRNA from 1 species
GAAACGACUGCUAAUACCGCAUAAGCCCACAGCUCGGCAUCGAGCAGAGGGAAAAGGAGCAAUCCGCUUUGAGAUGGCCUCGCGUCCGAUUAGCUAGUUGGUGAGGUAACGGCCCACCAAGGCAACGAUCGGUAGCCGGACUGAGAGGUUGAACGGCCACAUUGGGACUGAGACACGGCCCAGACUCCUACGGGAGGCAGCAGUGGGGAAUAUUGCACAAUGGGGGAAACCCUGAUGCAGCGACGCCGCGUGGAGGAAGAAGGUCUUCGGAUUGUAAACUCCUGUUGUUGAGGAAGAUAAUGACGGUACUCAACAAGGAAGUGACGGCUAACUACGUGCCAGCAGCCGCGGUAAAACGUAGGUCACAAGCGUUGUCCGGAAUUACUGGGUGUAAAGGGAGCGCAGGCGGGAGAACAAGUUGGAAGUGAAAUCCAUGGGCUCAACCCAUGAACUGCUUUCAAAACUGUUUUUCUUGAGUAGUGCAGAGGUAGGCGGAAUUCCCGGUGUAGCGGUGGAAUGCGUAGAUAUCGGGAGGAACACCAGUGGCGAAGGCGGCCUACUGGGCACCAACUGACGCUGAGGCUCGAAAGUGUGGGUAGCAAACAGGAUUAGAUACCCUGGUAGUCCACACCGUAAACGAUGAAUACGAGGUGUUGGAGGAUUGACCCCUUCAGUG